UCUUUUUACAGUUAAUUAAAUUUCUUUACAUUAAAAAAUAACCUCCCUCAUAGACUGCCCUGAUGCGUGAUACAAAACUGCAACCAUCGCUAAAAGUUAAAACCAUCGGUGAAGAAUUGCUCCAUUACACACUGAUAGUAUACUCCUCUGUUUACACCCCACAUCCUUUGUGUCUAUAUUGCUGAAUUAAAGUCAUUCAUCAAAGAAAUUAGCCACUGGUGCCUUCUUGGAUUACGUGAUACUUGGAUUCAACUCUUCUAUACUGCACUGUUUCAUCAAUGACUUAGCCUUCUACUAUAAAGAGUAAAGGUAGUGGUCUGGCUCGAGUUAUGGCAGGUGCAUUGGUUGAUGAUGCACAGUCCUUGUCCAGACAAUUUGCUGCAAUGAGUCUAAGGAAUGAAGAAAGACCAUGGCCUAGCAGUACUACUUGGGGCAGGAUGGGAUAAAAGAAGACAGCCAGCUCUACUUCGGCGAGCUCUUAUGAAGGAGGAGGAGACAUGGAAUUUAAGCAGAACAGGUUCUUUCCGGCAGAAAGGAAAAUUGUCACUGCCAAUCCAGAUAUAAACAUUGUAUUGUUGCGGAAUACAAGUUCUUUUAAUCUUGUGGACUUUAUUCGCUCUGCUAAUAAUUGAUAUUUUGCGGAAUAACAAGCACAGGUUCAUCGGUUUCUCAAGAACAAGUUGCUCAUGUAGUAGUUUUGUGUUUUAUUAGAAAUUGUAGUUAUGUACAGUAGUUUCUUGAAAAAGAGUUAUAGAGGAUUUCAUGUUUUAUGUUCAAUAUAUUUAUUUGUAAUUAUCCGGUUGUACACAUAUAUUUUCAUUAAUAAUUAAGUAAUUUUUAAGUA